GUCUGACCUGCCCACUGAUAUUAAUUAAAUGGCCGCAGUAUCCUAACUGUGCAAAGGUAGCAUAAUCAUUAGUCUUUUAAUUGAAGGCUUGUAUGAAUGGUUGGACGAGAUACCAACUGUUUCAUUUAAAUUUUUUAUAGAACUUUAUUUUUUAGUCAAAAAGCUAAAAUUUAAUUAAAAGACGAGAAGACCCUAUAAAUCUUGAUAUUUAUAUUAUUUUAGUUAUAAAGAUUGAUUUAAUUAUAAUUUUUAUAAAUAUUUUAUUGGGGUGAUAUUAAAAUUUAAUAAACUUUUAAUUUUGAAUUACAUUAAUUUAUGAAUAAUUGAUCCAUUAAUAAUGAUUAAAAAUUUAAGUUACUUUAGGGAUAACAGCGUAAUUUUUUUGGAGAGUUCAUAUUGAUAAAAAAGAUUGCGACCUCGAUGUUGGAUUAAGAGAUAUUUUUGGGUGCAGCAGCUCAAAGGUU
rnacentral:rRNA from 1 species